rnacentral:tRNA from 1 species
UGCAUCGGCCAGGAAUCGAACCCGGGCCGCCCGCGUGGCAGGCGAGCAUUCUACCACUAAACCACCGAUGG